CAGAUAGAAUCUGCCUGCUUCAGUGGAACAGCAGCUUUCAUGGAAGUGAGGAUUCAGUCUGUGGUUGUUGAGUUCAUCCUGAAUCACGUUGAUGUGCUGUUCAGCGGCAGAAUCAGCAUGGCCAUGCAAGAGGGGGCAGCUUCUCUAUCAAGGCCCAAGUCCCUCCUGGUAUCCUCUCCAUCCACCAAACUGCUGACAUUGGAAGAGGCCCAGGCACGAACACAAGCUCAGGUCAAUUCUCCAAUUGUGACAGAAAAUAAAUAUAUCGAAGUAGGAGAAGGACCUGCUGCACUUCAGGGGAAAUUUCAUACCAUAAUUGAGUUCCCACUUGAAAGGUAAAAUUUGUUAAAUCCUAUUUUGGGAUAUGAUUUUCAUAGCUAUGUCCUAUUAUUUUCUUUUAG
rnacentral:sRNA from 1 species